AAUUUAAUAAGACAUAGAUUUUAAAUUUUUUAAUCACUAUCUUGGAUUAUUGACCCUGAAUUCAUAGUGAAGAGCGAUUGCGAUCGCGAUUUAGACGCGAUAUCGCGAUUUUCAUUCAUUUUGCAAAGCGAUUGUUAAACAGGCACCGUUUCUGCGGAUACGACUUUAUAUUCAUUAAAAAUGGUAGCCAUCCUCAAAUUAUUAUUUUUUUACAGAAUGAUGUUGAAGAGUAGAAGAUUAAAUAAUCUUAAUAUUAAUAAAAGAAAGGAAGGUGAAUUUUACAUUCUUUUUCCAAAACUAUUAAAAAAUGACCCAAAAUUUUUUAACUAUAUGAGAAUGACAAAGGAGACAUUUUAUUAUAUUCUAAAAUAUAUAAAACCAUUAUUAUAUACUAAACGUACAAAUUUCAUUAAACAUCCUAUAAGUGUAGAAGAAAUGCUUAUGAUUUGUUUAAGAUAUUUAGCAACAGGCUGUAGAUACCCUACUUUGGCCUAUUCUUUCAAAAUAGGCAGAUCUACAGUCCAGAAAAAUUAGCACAACCUGCCAAGCUAUAUGGCAAACUUUGGUAGGUAAACAUAUGCCACCACCUACUCUCACUGACUUUGAGAGGAUAGCAAAGGAGUUUGAGGUGAAUUGGAAUUUACCAAAUUGUGUGGGAUGUAUUGAUGGAAAACACUGCAGAAUUAGAAAAAUUCAUCUAUUUAAAAUAUUUUUAUAAAGCAAGUAAACAAAAAUAACCAAUGUCCUUAAACUUUCUCUAUGAAAAAGAUCAUUCAUUAUAAAUAUUAUAUAUUUCAUUAUUAAUUACCAAACUCAGUACAAAGUUUAAUUAUAGCAGGACUUUUGGGAAUAAUUAUAUCAUUCAAUGUAUUUCACAAAAUUU